rnacentral:tRNA from 2 species
AAAAAGAUAAGCUAAUUAAGCUACUGGGUUCAUACCCCAUCUAUAGAGGUCAUAGCCCUCUUCUUUUUA